AGGUGACUUUUAGCUUUGAGCGCCAGCAUCAGGUUAGGUCGAGAGCGGCCGACAGCAGCUGCAUAUGUUCUCUGCUAAUAAAGCGAUUGAAGUGUAUUGUGAGCCUCUCCAUAUCGCUAGCGUCUCUGUGGUCUGCUAAUAAAGCGAUUGUAUUGCGAGCCUCUCCUUAAUCAACGGCAUAUGAGUAGUACAGUAUUCUACGCUGGCCUCCGGAUGUCAGCAACGUUACAUUGAUGAGAGAAUGGCCACCAGGAAGUCUGAUGUCAAAGCUAACGGGGGGAAGGCAAGCAGCUGCACAGGAUUCUCCCCAACUACGGCUGCAUCUAAAUCCGGGGUCUGCAGCCUGCUAGCUGCAUGAUGAAGCCAAGGCUGUCCAAAUUAGAAAGUCUGCAAAAGCUCCUCCAAAUGCGGCCGACAAAUGGGUCCUCCUCCAUUUGAAAAAGAAGUCUGCAUCCAAACCGUCCUUCAUGGCCCAUCAUAUCCCAAGAUUCUUUGCGCACUUCCGUCCAGCCCUUAAAAAUGUCAACAUUACGGCCUAUCCAGAAGUGGACUUGCUGGUGUGUUCUGGAUCAUUGUCCUGCUGCAGAACCCAAGUUAGUUUCAGCUUGAGGUCACGAACAGAUGGCGGGACAUUCUCCUUCAGGAUUUGUUUGUAGACAGCAGAAUCCAGGGUUCCACUUAUCACAGCAAGUCUUCCACGUCCUGAAGCAGCAAAACAGCCCCAGACCAUCACACUACCACCACCAGCUUUUACUGUUGGUAUGAUGUUCUCUUUUGAAAAUGCUGAAUUACUAAUGGGACACACUCCUUCUAAAAAGUUCAACUUUUGUCUUGUCAGAACACAGUGUAUUUUUCCAAAGGUCUUGGAGGUCAUCAAGAUCUUUUCUGGCAAAGUUGAGAUGAGCCUUGAUGUUCUUUUUGUUCAGCAAUGGUUUUCAUCUUGGAACUCUGCCAUACAGGCAAUUUUUGCCCAGUGUCUUUCUUAUGGUGAGGUCAUGAACACUGUCCUAAACUGAGGCAAGUCAGGCCUGCGGUUCUUUGGAUGUCUUUUGUGACCUUUUGGAUGAGUCGUCGCUGCGCUCAUGGGGUAAUUUUGGUUGGCCGGCCACCCCUGGGAAGGGUCACCACUGUUCUAUGUUUUCACCAUUUGUGGAUAAUGGCUCUCACUUUGGUUUCCUGGAGUCCCAAAACUUUAGAAAUGGCUUCAUAACCUUUUCCACAUUGAUCUCAUUUCAUCUCAGUUAUGUUUUAACAGAGGAGGCAAUCACGUUUUCACACGGGGCCAUGUAGUUUUGUUUUGUUUUUCUCCCUUAAUAAUAAAAAGUUUCAUUUAAAAACUGCAUUUUGUGUUCAGUUGUCUUGUCAUUGACUAAUAUUUAAAUAUGUUUGAUGAGCUAAAACAUUUAAGUGUGACAAACAUGCAAAACGUAAGAAACUAGGAAGUGGGCAAACACUUUUGCACAUUAUAUAUUAUUAUAUUUAUUAUUUGUAAAUUAUUUUGGGGGUAAAUUUCUGUAUUUAACUUCCCAAUCUGGUCAUUUUUAAUGUGUUUUAAAUGUAACUGUAAUGAUAUUUUUGUAUACUGAACACAUUUCUUCUGACUCAUAAGUCCAAAGAAUCUGAGUGCCGUUUUGGUACUGGCCACUAUUUCCUCGGUGGCGCUUAGUUCACAGUGGUUUUAAUCACUGUUAGUAGCAACAUAAUUUAAAAAAAAUACAUUUUACAUGCAACUCAGUGAAGUGUGCUAUUUAAAAACAGACUUGCAGGUGCCUCAUGCCUCAGUGUUGCAUAUUGCAGUUGUUGUGUUGUGUUUUAUUUUGCAGUGUUUAUGUCAGAAGUGCAUCCAGUGGUAUUACAGUAAAAAAAAGAAUCAUAUGUUCCUUACAUGACAUUAGUUUGAGGGAAGAGCUGCUGCCUAUAUCAUAUCGGUUGAUAUCGGGAAUGAAAUGCUCGACAAAUAUCGGAUAUCAGUAUGAAAGCCAAUACUGUGCAUCUCUAAAGAUUUUGUUUUUAGUGUCCUUUUGCCUAUAUUAAAUUCAUAAAAACACCAAGCAACUUCAUUGACUUGAGUUAAAAACUGAAAUGUACUUUUGUUUGUACUGAUUGAAUACGAAUGACUAUGAAGGAGGGUGUAGCGCCCCGUGAAAGGAAAUCUAAAACUAAGAAUUCCUGAAAUAAAAAAUAAAAACUUGCACAGAUUAAAAUCUUUGCAAAGAGGCGAGAUAACAGAUGCAGAAUGCACAGCGGUCCGGUUUGUAGGGUCCUUCUGGUCAACCCAGAUUCUGAUACCUUAUCACAUGCAAAUGAGUUACACCUAACCCACAGAAAGAACCACAUUCCAACAGGUGCUGGUGUGUCUUGUGCAAGAGGUCACAUUAAAAGAAGAUCCUUCCUCAGAUAGUCAUGUAUCAUCAAAGACUCCCAGGGCACCGACCGGUUCUUCUUCGUCUUACCAGCCAAAAGCAUGGCCCUCCCAGUGGUUUCCUGAACGCCCCCCCCCCAAGCUUGGAAGUCAAUUAACUCACACGGUACCACUUGUUUAAAUAUAAGAAUCAAUACAUACAAUGAUACAAAAAAGUAACACUUGUAAGAUAACGUGACACAAGUUAUACCUGUAAGUUAUAUAUUUUCCAUCACAAGCACAAAUGCCCUCUCGCUCCUCCCUCUCCACUACACAGUUAUUUUUAAGCAAAAUAAUAAUUAUACGCUACUCUUUUGGCACGACACUGAGUUGAACAUAUCACAGGAGUAGUAGACGCCAUUUAUGUCAACCGCAGAUGGAUCACAGUGCGUCCCAAUUAAGUUGACCCCGUUUAUGUCAACAACCCGUCUAAGUCAACCAACUCAUCAAGUCCUGCUCCACCGUGUUGCUCUUCUAAGUUCCCACUUAGGUCUGUUUGUGUCUUUACUCACGCAGAGGUUUGUACAGAUAUAGAAAUAUAUAUUAUCAGGUUUUCAAUAGUAUUUCGAAUCAAGGGUGGGGGCGUGAAAACGUUUCUGUCCCGAAGGCAGGACAUGACAGAAAAUAAUUGAGGACCACUGCCUAGGGGCUCUGUAAGCUUUGGUAUCUUUGGGUGUGUGAAAUGCCAUCAAAUGGAAAUUUCCUGAGUGGUUGGACAGCUCCCUUGCAUCAAAGUAUUUAAGGCUGCACACGUUGACCAGUUUGACAGAGGACGAGCGACAGCAGCAUCCUCUACUGUAAGUGCUUUCACAUUUUUAUUUGCACGUGAUAUCGUUUGUAAACUUUACGAUGCUCUCUUUCUUGAGUAAAAUACAAAUUGUAUACUUCUCUUCUUGAAGGACUAUUUUAAAAAGAAUGACAAUGUUUACAGUGCAUUUUAAAAAAUGUAUUGGUCAUUAUUAGCUCAGCUAUUGUUCAGUCUAGGGCAGGGGUGUCCAAAGUCUGGCUUGGGGGCCAUAUGCGGUCCCAGACUUUGUUUUAUUGGCCCUCGGCAUGUUCUGAAAAUAUAAUUUGACAAGAAAGCUAAAAAACAAAAACAACUGCAACAAAAAACAAAAACAUCAGGUGUAAUUUUACAAGAAUAAAGUCAAAAUAUGGCGAGAAAAAAAACUAACGAGAAAAAGUUAUUUUAUGCAUUGAUUAUAACAUAAUAUUAUGAGGAAAAUAUCAUUUUAGUAAAAUCAAGUUGAAAUAUUAAAGAAAAAUACUUUAUUUUUUUCAAGUUUUAAUAUUAUGAGAGACAAACAAAAGAAAUAAAGGUGUAUUUUUUAUUAGCUUGUGGAAAAAGUUAUAAUGUUAUGACAAAUUAAAAAUGUUAUGGGAACAAAGUCAAAAUUCUGAGAAGAAAUUUACAAGAAGAAAGUUGAAAUACUUGGAAAAUAAAAAAAAACAGCAAAAAUGGAAUAAAAGUCUGAAUAUUAAGAGAAAAAAAGUGUAGUCUAACAAGACAAAUGAGAAUAAACUUGUGCUAUUAUGAGGAAAACUAAUGUCAUUUUAGUAGCAUUGUCAAGUCAAACUAGCAAGAAUGAGUCAAUUCAUGACAGGAAAAAAAAAAGUGAUUGAAAAAUACCUUAUCUAAAAUUUAUAAAACUAAAGGAAAAAAAAACUUUAAAUAAUAAAUAUAUCUAUUUAUAGCCUUAAGUAAAUAAGAUUUUCGUUAGUGUAGUUAAAAACUAUUUUUAUAGUUGCUACAGAAGAUCUGGUUAGGACAGGAAGUUAGACUCACCAGCACACCUGGGCGUGCACCAAAGACAUGCAACUUCCUUUUAAGCAGGCAAGGCUGCAGACAGGUGUGGUAAUUUGGUGUGAUUAAAACUUUACCCCCAAACUUUGUGCAAGUGGAGCUGCAAGUCUAAAGAGGCAGCCGGUAAGAAACUGAAAUCUUCUUUAAAAAGUCUUAUUACUGCUGUUUUGAUGCGCCUGCGCUGCACACGGCUUGACUUUCUUUAAUGGUGCGUGCCUCAUUUGUGAAUUAAGAAUAUAAAUGAAUUGAAAGCGUGUGCUCACUGUACUUAUUUUGGUGAGGAUGUUGAAUUAAGAAUGCUGCCGAUCGUUUGUGGCACAUGUGGGCAUGCGGCGGUCCAUGUUUGGUUAAUUGAUUGAUUAGUUCUUGAUUGUAAUUUUGCCAAGGCACGAGCAGUAUGUUUAGGGCAUUAAAUACAAAUUCUGAACAUUUCUUUUGCCCAUUUAAUGUACUUGUUUAAAUGUUUGUUAAAUCAUGGUAUUUAUUUAACAGAUUUAAUCCCAAAGAUUGAGAGAACAAGCAUUAUGUAAAAUACAAGACUAAGUUACAAUACAAAUGUUAAAACAUUUUAAAAAUAGUUUAAUAAAUAGCAGUAAAAGUGGUAAAAUUUAAAUUGCCAUAGAAAUUUGUUUAUGUAUUGCAAUACAAUAUAACAUUGAAAAAAAAAAAAUCAAAGUGGCCCCUGCAUCCUUUAAUUUUUCAUUACGUGGCCCUCGGUGAAAAAAGUUUGG